rnacentral:misc_RNA from 1 species
UACGGGGGGGGCAAGCGUUGUUCGGAUUUACUGGGCGUAAAGGGCGCGUAGGCGGUUCGCUAAGUCGGAUGUGAAAACUCCGGGCUCAACUCGAAGCCUGCAUCCGAUACUGGUGGGCUUGAGUGCGAGAGGGGAAAGCGGAAUUCCUGGUGUAGCGGUGAAAUGCGUAGAUAUCAGGAGGAACACCGGUGGCGAAGGCGGCUUUCUGGAUCGCAACUGACGCUGAGGCGCGAAAGCUAGGGGAGCAAACAGG